AUUGAACGCUGGCGGCAUGCUUUACACAUGCAAGUCGAACGGCAGCGCGGGGCAACCUGGCGGCGAGUGGCGAACGGGUGAGUAAUAUAUCGGAACGUACCCAGAAGUGGGGGAUAACGUAGCGGAAGUUACGCUAAUACCGCAUACGAUCUACGGAUGAAAGUGGGGGACCUUCGGGCCUCAUGCUUGCGGAACGGCCGAUAUCUGAUUAGCUAGUUGGUAGGGUAAAGGCCUACCAAGGCGACGAUCAGUAGCUGGUCUGAGAGGACGACCAGCCACACUGGGACUGAGACACGGCCCAGACUCCUACGGGAGGCAGCAGUGGGGAAUUUUGGACAAUGGCGCAAGCCUGAUCCAGCAAUGCCGCGUGAGUGAAGAAGGCCUUCGGGUUGUAAAGCUCUUUUGUCAGGGAAGAAACGGGACUGGAUAAUACCUGGUCCUAAUGACGGUACCUGAAGAAUAAGCACCGGCUAACUACGUGCCAGCCGCCGCGGUAA
rnacentral:rRNA from 1 species